rnacentral:rRNA from 1 species
GACAGAGGGUGCAAACGUUGCUCGGAAUCAUUGGGCGUAAAGCGCACGUAGGCGGCUUCAAAAGUCGGAUGUGAAAUCCCACGGCUCAACCGUGGACGUGCAUCCGAAACUGGGGAGGCUUGAGUACUGAAGAGGAUCGCGGAAUUCCCGGUGUAGAGGUGAAAUUCGUAGAGAUCCGGAAGAACACCGGUGGCGAAGGCGGCCUGCUGGGCAGUGGCUGACACUGAGGCGCGACAGCGUGGGGAGCAAACAGG